rnacentral:rRNA from 1 species
AGAGUUUGAUCCUGGCUCAGGAUGAACGCUGGCGGCGCGCCUAACACAUGCAAGUCGAACGGACGAUGAAGAGCUUGCUUUUCAAAGUUAGUGGCGGACGGGUGAGUAACGCGUGGGUAACCUGCCUCAUACAGGGGAAUAGCAGCUGGAAACGGCUGAUAAACCGCAUAAGCGCACAGUGCCGCAUGGCACAGUGUGAAAAACUCCGGUGGUAUGAGAUGGACCCGCGUCUGAUUAGCUGGUUGGCGGGGUAACGGCCACCAGGCGACGAUCAGUAGCCGGCCUGAGAGGGUGAUCGGCCACAUUGGGACUGAGACACGGCCCAACUCCGUACGGAGGCA